UAUCGUAACAAAAGCGUAAGAGACGCUCCAAGGCUGUCGCCGACUCGAAAGGGUCGUGCACGCCGGAAGGGCGUCCUCUUACGUGAAAUCCACCUCACCCCUUUUGUGCACCACCGCGUGGGCUUCCUCCUCGAGGGGGCUCGCGUUUUUCACACAAACACCCUUUGUAAACGUCUUGUAGAAUGUCCUCAUUUUGUUUGCGUUGACGCGCGAUCAAUACAACUUUCAACAACGGAUCUCUUGGCUCUCGCAUCGAUGAAGAACGCAGCGAAAUGCGAUACGUAAUGUGAAUUGCAGAAUUCAGUGAAUCAUCGAAUCUUUGAACGCACCUUGCGCCCCUUGGUAUUCCGAGGGGCACACCCGUUUGAGUGUCGUGAAAAUCUCAACCUCCUUGGUUUCUUUUGAACGCCAAAGGAGGCUUGGACUUUGGAGGGCUUUGCUGGACUUGUAAAAGGGCCAGCUCCUCUCAAAUGAAUUAGCGAGGUCCCCUUUGCCGAUCCUCGACGUGUGAUAAGUUGCUUCCACGUCUCGAUCUUUGGCUCUGUCGCCUCUUGGGACCUGCUUCCAAUCGUCUCUCUACGAGACAACGUUCGAGCUUGCCUCGACCACGUACCCUUG
rnacentral:misc_RNA from 1 species